GUGAGGAAUAUUGGACAAUGGGCGCAAGCCUGAUCCAGCCAUGCCGCGUGCAGGAAGACGCAUCUAUGGUGUGUAAACUGCUUUUGUACGGGAAGAAACACUCCCUCGUGAGGGAGCUUGACGGUACCGUAAGAAUAAGGAUCGGCUAACUCCGUGCCAGCAGCCGCGGUAAUACGGAGGAUCCAAGCGUUAUUCGGCAUCAUUGGGUUUAAUGGGUCCGUAGGCGGUUGACUCAGUCAGUUGUGAAAGCCCAUCGCUCAACGAUGGAACGGCCAUUGAUACUGUUUGACUUGAAUUACAAGGAAGUAACUAGAAUAUGUAGUGUAGCGGUGAAAUGCUUAGAUAUUACAUGGAAUACCAAUUGCGAAGGCAGGUUACUACUUGUGGAUUGACGCUGAUGGACGAAAGCUUGGGGAGCGAACAGGAUUAGAUACCCGUGUAGUCC
rnacentral:rRNA from 1 species